UUGAACGCUGGCGGCAUGCUUUACCCAUGCCAGUCGAACGGCAGCGCGGGCUUCGGCCUGGCGGCGAGUGGCGAACGGGUGAGUAAUGCAUCGGAACGUGCCCAGUAGUGGGGGAUAGCCCGGCGAAAGCCGGAUUAAUACCGCAUACGACCUGAGGGUGAAAGCGGGGGACCGAAAGGCCUCGCGCUAUUGGAGCGGCCGAUGUCGGAUUAGCUAGUUGGUGGGGUAAAGGCUUACCAAGGCGACGAUCCGUAGCUGGUCUGAGAGGACGACCAGCCACACUGGGACUGAGACACGGCCCAGACUCCUACGGGAGGCAGCAGUGGGGAAUUUUGGACAAUGGGGGCAACCCUGAUCCAGCCAUGCCACGUGCGGGAAGAAGGCCUUCGGGUUGUAAACCGCUUUUGUUCGGGAAGAAAUCCUCUGGGCUAAUACCCCGGGGGGAUGACGGUACCGGAAGAAUAAGCACCGGCUAACUACGUG
rnacentral:rRNA from 1 species